AUUGAACCCUGGCGGCAUGCUUUACACAUGCAAGUCGAACGGUAACAGGCCGCAAGGUGCUGACGAGUGGCGAACGGGUGCGUAAUGCAUCGGAACGUGCCUAGUCGUGGGGGAUAACUACUCGAAAGAGUAGCUAAUACCGCAUACGAUCUAUGGAUGAAAGCGGGGGACCGUAAGGCCUCGCGCGAUUGGAGCGGCCGAUGUCAGAUUAGGUAGUUGGUGGGGUAAAGGCUCACCAAGCCAACGAUCUGUAGCUGGUCUGAGAGGACGACCAGCCACACUGGGACUGAGACACGGCCCAGACUCCUACGGGAGGCAGCAGUGGGGAAUUUUGGACAAUGGGCGCAAGCCUGAUCCAGCAAUGCCGCGUGCAGGAAGAAGGCCUUCGGGUUGUAAACUGCUUUUGUACGGAACGAAACGGCUCUGGUUAAUACCCGGGGCUAAUGACGGUACCGGAAGAAUAAGCACCGGCUAACUACGUG
rnacentral:rRNA from 1 species